rnacentral:lncRNA from 1 species
CCAAUGGUUUGGGCCAAAAUGGAAUAUCUUCUAAGAAAUUCCUGAGCCAUUCAGCUUCUUCACCGGCUUUGUCUAGAGCUAUGAACUCAGAUUCCAUUGUAGAGCGGGCGAUACAUGUCUGUUUGGAUGGUAUGCAUAUUGGUGCCAAUGGUUUGGGCCAAAAUGGAAUAUCUUCUAAGAAAUUCCUGAGCCAUUCAGCUUCUUCACCGGCUUU